GACGAACGCUGGCGGCGUGCUUAACACAUGCAAGUCGAACGGAAAGGCCCUGCUUGCAGGGUGCUCGAGUGGCGAACGGGUGAGUAACACGUGGGUGAUCUGCCCCUUACUUUGGGAUAAGCCUGGGAAACUGGGUCUAAUACUGGAUAGGACCAUGCUGUAGGUGGUGUGGUGGAAAGAUUAGUUUCGGUAAGGGAUGAGCUCGCGGCCUGUCAGCUUGUUGGUGGGGUAAUGGCCUACCAAGGCGUCGACGGGUAGCCGGCCUGAGAGGGUGGACGGCCACAUUGGGACUGAGAUACGGCCCAGACUCCUACGGGAGGCAGCAGUGGGGAAUAUUGCACAAUGGGCGCAAGCCUGAUGCAGCGACGCCGCGUGGGGGAUGGCGGCCUUCGGGUUGUAAACUCCUUUCAGCCAUGACGAAGCCCUUGUGGUGACGGUAGUGGUAGAAGAAGCACCGGCUAACUACGUGCCAGCAGCCGCGGUAAUACGUAGGGUGCGAGCGUUGUCCGGAAUUACUGGGCGUAAAGAGCUCGUAGGUGGUCUGUCGCGUCAUUUGUGAAAGCCCGGGGCUUAACUCCGGGUUGGCAGGUGAUACGGGCAUGACUGGAGUACUGUAGGGGAGACUGGAAUUCCUGGUGUAGCGGUGAAAUGCGCGGAUAUCAGGAGGAACACCGGUGGCGAAGGCGGGUCUCUGGGCAGUAACUGACGCUGAGGAGCGAAAGCAUGGGUAGCGAACAGG
rnacentral:rRNA from 1 species